rnacentral:RNase_P_RNA from 1 species
CCGGUCAACCAAGACAAUCGCUGCUGUGCUUGCACAGGGGAGGAAAGUCCGGGCUCCACAGGGCAAAGUGCCAGUUAAUGGCUGGGGGGCGUAAGCCUACGGCAAGUGCCACAGAAAAUAUACCGCCUCGAUCUGUAACAGGAUGAGACUCUCGCAAGAGAGGGGGUAAGGGUGAAAUGGUGCGGUAAAAGCGCACCGCGCUCCUGGUAACAGGAGUGGCAGGGUAAACCCCACUUGGAGCAAGGCUAAAUAGGGGUACAUUCGGUGCUGCCCGCACUGUACCCGGGUAAGCUGCUUGAGGUGUUGAGCGAUCAACAUCCUAGACGAAUGAUUGUCCACGACAAAACCCGGCUUAUCGGUUGACCGACUUU